rnacentral:rRNA from 1 species
UGAACCGCUUUCGGGCGGGGAUUAGUGGCGAACGGGUGAGUAACACGUGGGCAAUCUGCCCUGCACUCUGGGACAAGCCCUGGAAACGGGGUCUAAUACCGGAUAUGACUGUCCAUCGCAUGGUGGAUGGUGUAAAGCUCCGGCGGUGCAGGAUGAGCCCGCGGCCUAUCAGCUUGUUGGUGAGGUAGUGGCUCACCAAGGCGACGACGGGUAGCCGGCCUGAGAGGGCGACCGGCCACACUGGGACUGAGACACGGCCCAGACUCCUACGGGAGGCAGCAGUGGGGAAUAUUGCACAAUGGGCGAAAGCCUGAUGCAGCGACGCCGCGUGAGGGAUGACGGCCUUCGGGUUGUAAACCUCUUUCAGCAGGGAAGAAGCGAAAGUGACGGUACCUGCAGAAGAAGCGCCGGCUAACUACGUGCCAGCAGCCGCGGUAAUACGUAGGGCGCAAGCGUUGUCCGGAAUUAUUGGGCGUAAAGAGCUCGUAGGCGGCUUGUCACGUCGGUUGUGAAAGCCCGGGGCUUAACCCCGGGUCUGCAGUCGAUACGGGCAGGCUAGAGUUCGGUAGGGGAGAUCGGAAUUCCUGGUGUAGCGGUGAAAUGCGCAGAUAUCAGGAGGAACACCGGUGGCGAAGGCGGAUCUCUGGGCCGAUACUGACGCUGAGGAGCGAAAGCGUGGGGAGCGAACAGGAUUAGAUACCCUGGUAGUCCACGCCGUAAACGGUGGGCACUAGGUGUGGGCAACAUUCCACGUUGUCCGUGCCGCAGCUAACGCAUUAAGUGCCCCGCCU